GCGCCCCGCAAAUUCAGUUUUAAAAUAAUCUUAAAAUACCGCAUUCUUUCUGAGCGAUCAAAGGUAGGAAGCUCCCUUUGAUCGUAUCUACUUUGUUCCACUAAACUUCCAGAAGGGCAGAAGGAUCCCAACUAUUUUAUGUGACUGUAUGUAUACAUGUAUAGAUCGCAAAUUAACAUAAUCACAUAAAUUAACACAAUUAAAUCACAUUUAUGACAAGAUGUAUCCUUGAUGGGCACUGUUACUUGAGUAUCAAGCAAUUGAAUCAUUCUCCCUCCUUCCUUGAGAAGUUCUUGAGGAUUGAAAAAUGAUUACCCUUGCUGCGAAGGUAACCAUGUGACAGAAUGAUGUGUUCUGGCCAAUGAGAUGUUAGAAUUCCACUUGGGAGCCUCUAGGAAAGAGUUUGCUUUCCCGGGAAAACGUCAAGUGCGAGAGGAGAGCUCCUGGGUUCUGUCCUUUCUAUCUUCCUGCCCUGAAGGUGGUUAUGUGGGAAAAGGAUAGUUGGACCUAUGGCAGCCAUCUUUAUUAGGAUCGUGAGACAAAACACCCAAGGCCUAAAGGUCAUCCUAUUUAGGAUGAUGGAAGAUGGAGAAAGGAUCUUAAAGGGUAGAAGGAAAGAUAGGAAAAAGAAAUGAACCUAGUUCUCCGAGGAUCAUUUCGUUACCUUUGUUGCCAAAUUUGGAACUACUUACUUCUGGUUUCAUCAUCUGUGAGGUAAUUGCUUAAACUUCUACUGGCAGCUGAAUUCUAACUGAUACAUUUUAACAUUUUUCUGACUCAUUCCCAGGCUCACAUUUGAUUAGUAAGUAAUGGCAGAUAUUUAAACCCAGGUUUUUCGAUUCAAAGCCCAGUGUUUUCCUGGCUCUGCUGUCUUUCCACAUGGUUAUAAUUUGGGAAAUAAAUACAUACACUGUGAAGUAAUAACAUACGUUACCCAUUAUGAAGACUUGUCCUCCUCUUAUUUAAAGCCCUAUUUCUCUCAUAACCCUCUGGACUGCUCUCUCAUGGUUUGUCCAACAAGUUCUGGGAAUGAAUUUCCCUGUAUUACCCUCUGUUUCCCUUAUCAUUGAAUGUUUGUUUACCUCACUAUAACUUCAGACAAGUUACUGAUCAUCAAAUUUGUUUUCCUGCUCUUUAUAAGAGGAUAAUUUAUAUUAACCUUUUGCAUAUUUCGCGGUCUUGUUGAGUGGGAAGGGGCUCAGGGGUAUGGGGCUCAGUUUAUUACCGACAUUCUAAUUUUUGCUUGCUCGUGGUUGCUAUACGGGUGUUUAAAUCUUUAUAGAAAUUAGAUACUGAAUAAAGGCCCAUAAUGACACAAUACAUUUUCACCUGCCUUUGUCUGUAAAGCAAUGGGUGUGCUUAACAUUUUUAUUCAAUUUUUAGUGGUGAAAGCCUGGUCCAUCAUUUUCCUUAGUUGGUUUAUCUCUUUUUAGACCUUUUUAAAAGAUCUAUAUGUGGAUAUUUGGUAUACAUAUAACUGAGAUCUAAUCAUAGCAUUAUGUAUGUACUCCGAGAAACCACAGAAAUUCUCCAGUCAGAGCAUAUAACUAACACUGGGAACUAUGAUUAGUCUCUUAAGAAUGUGGCCUUAAAUGAGCAGGCCCUCUCAAUACACUAUAAAACCGGGUUAUAAGGGACCAGAGGUUGCAUUGAUACUCAUUAAGGGAAAAAUGACUCCUAGGCUAGUGAGACUCAACUCUCCGAGUUAAUUAAAUGUACCAAUAUAUUUAAAGAAAAUGUAUCCAACGGGUGGAUUGAGAAGCCACAGAACCAGAAAAAGGAGAAAUCUAGAGAUCUUUGUGCUGUUCCACCAAGACUUGUCUGAGAGAGACGAUGUUCUGAACCGCUCUACUUCCAAAAGCAGCAGUCUUACUGUUAUUGUUUUUAUUAUGAAUCUCUGACACGUAUGGGCUGUUUCAGUAUAGCUACUGGACCCAUUUAUGUAAUUGAAUCCUCAUAAAAACUGAAGGAUGUAAGCACUACCAUUAUCCUUAUUUUAUAGAUGAGGAUAUGAAAGCUGAAGGAGGCCAAAUUAUUUAGGUUCACACAGCUCGUGAAUGGCGGCGUUAGGAUCUGAAUUUAGUCUACAGAACCUGUGUGCGUAGCCACAAUUCGGUGAGUUUAUAAUGACAAAAGGGCGCUCUGGCCUGAGUUUUGCAGAAAGCAAGCAAUCUGAGGAUUAGACGUCUGCGACUUGUCCAACCGUAUAUGUGAGAAUUCGGGCAGUAAUUCAAAGUCUCUCGAAUCUUGCGUUGAUGUAUUUCCAGCAUAACAGGAUGCUUCUCCGUGAGGAAAUCGUUCAGGAAUCGACCAGUGAAGGUGAGACUGCCUUCAGCGCUGGGGCAACACUGGAAGCCUGUGCUCUUUGGAAGGAAGUAGAUACGCAUAGCUCUCACGCACGUGGACGUGGAUUUAAAUGUAUGUGUGUGUUUACGUGUGGAGUCAGUCCUCAUUAUUUGUGGAUUCCGUGUUCGUGAAUUUUCCCACUUGCUCAAAUUUGUCACCUCCACAUCAAUACUCAUGGUACCUUUGUGGCCAUUUGCAGACAUGCACAGAGUGGAAGAACCUUUGGAUCACCUGGUACCCGUGUUCCCAGUGAGUUUGGACAAAGUGACCCUCUGGCUUCUUGUUUUAGCUUUCAUGAUGUAAAGAAAAGAAAAGAAGGACCUAAGAAGGACAAGCAAGGAAUGGCAACUAUUGGGAAUCCAUAGUAAAUAUGGCAGGCUCAUUGUUCAAGUUAAAAUUUUCUUGGAGAAGUAAAUCAAUAUGAAGAAUGGCAAGUAAAAAAAAAAAAGGAAAUUUUUAACAUUCACAAUGGAUUGUAUUGGGCUCUGUGUCUUCAUGAGACGAUGUCAUCCCUCGAAAAUUGGUGAAAAUAGGAGGAAAACAGAAAAUGUCAAAGAAAACAGUUCUCUUUACUCUUCUGAAUUAUAUAUAUAUAUAUAUAUAUAUAUAUAUAUAUAUAUAUAUAUGGUAAUCAACAAGACGAUCAUUCUCCCAUCAUGCCCAAAAAAGGUAGGAGAGAGGGGGAGAGAGAGAGAGAGACAGACAGAAGGUAUGAAGCCUUCAAUAGUGGAAAGCAGAAUUUAAACAUCUUGGGAUAAAAACACCAAGAAUUUGGCAAUAUGUUACUAAGCGACAGAUUUAGAAAGUUCUUUGUCAUUUGAUCUGCCUUUUUUCCUCCUCUUGCCUUUUAUACAUGUGGCCAGUAAAAACAGCUCUGUUGGUUUUCGUCUGGAGUCUGGUUUGGCGCUUUUGUCUUUUAUGUGAUGGUAAGCUGUGGGGUAGCUUGGAUUUAUAUAGAAACUACCUCAGGGGAACACUUACAGUCUGCCCUUGGAAUAUUUUCCGCAUUUCUGUUUAAUAAAAUUUGUGUGAGUAUGGACCGGUUCGUGGCAAAGUGGAUUUUGCUAAUCAUUUCAGCCUCAGAGAACCUGGGUUUGGGUCUUAAGGUUGGGAUCUCCUAGCCCUUGACCAAUGUCGUCUGUUGUCUCCUCUCUCUCAGCUCUGAAUUUUCAUAUGCGGAAAGUGUUGGUGAUCACGCGCCUUGAACUUUCACAGUGUUGUUUGGAGGGUUGUGUUGGAGAAGAACAUGGGAAGCAGUGCUUCGCAAACUCAAAACCCUACCAAAGGUUGAUUAUUAAUGUUGAAAUAUUUCCACAUUUAUUUGAACACUACUGUGCAGACUUAGAGCUCUCCUUAGCAAUAACAGCGGGCAUGGAAAUGACGGGAUGGUCCAUUUUUUUUGGACGUAGACUAUUAGCCUUGGAGACAAACUAAAAAAGGAGGGGAAACUUUUCUACAUAAGCAUAGGGGUAGUUACCUAAGAGCUAGGUCUUUGGUUUUUCAGGCUGCUAUAAUUGAUUUAUGCCCAUUUUACUGCCUGGGUGAAGUUUGUGCGCCAAUGUGACAUUAGCACAUGAUUAUAUUAUAAAAGCAUGAGUUACCUAGGUAAUUAAAGAUUGUGAGAUGGAAAAGUGAGGCUGACCCAGAGGUACCAUUUUGUGGGAUUAGUUUCCAUUAUGUUUCCCAGAAUUGAUUAGAUACGGCACCCCACCCCCCACCCGCCCCUCUAUAAAAGUAGCAUGGGGCUACUUGGCUUAGGGAAUGGUCUCUUCUGCUGGCUUUCGUUUUGGGGUCCAAGAUGGAAAAUGAAACACCGCAUGUCGAGAUGGACAUCCCUCAGUGUUUGAUUUGUCACCUGACACAUGUGGAAGAGAAUUCUGCUGAUUUUUCUUUGGGGCACUCUGUCUUUAUUAGAAGAUGGCACAGGAAAAAAAAUAUUCUUUUCCAUUCUGCCCAGUUCUGAGGAUACUGUGGAUUCUUAACAAUCACGAAGUUAUCUGUGACAGUGUGAAUAGAUUCUGCAAGUUAUUUACUUCCUGGACGGAUAUGCAGCUUUUUCCAGAUCCAGGUGUCAGGGAAGAAGAAUUUACUCUGCCUUUCAACGUCCUUCUAGCUGAACUAAGAAUCAAAUUGACACGAGACAGAGUCCACACAGGGAAAUCCACGCAGACAUGGAAAUUCCAAAGGCAGUGAGGCAACACAAAGCCUGUAUGAGCUAAGGGAGGGGUGGAAGUCUAAGGAUACAAAUCAGAGAAAGAUGUUUAGUGGGGAAGUGAGAGAGGAGGUGUUUGGAAAGCAAAGUUUGGCCUAUUAUGCAAAUCAGUUUCUUAGGUAGAGGGAAGUCUCUGUUAAGAGCUCUCUUCCUGGUGCGAGCAGGCAGUUAGUUGAGGGGCAGGUUAAGAGCUUUUCCGGCAUCCACUGGGUUUUGAUGGUUUUUAAUUCAAAAUAAUGUUAUGCCAAGGUGGCCCAUCUUGGGGUGGCUUGCCUUUGGUCCCUACACAGGGGAACAGAGUACUCUAAAAAUCAGGAGAGCGGAGAAGUUAUUUUGUGGAUGAACGACAUUAAUUGCUGAGGUUGUAAGUAGAAGCAAAUCAAGAAGUCAGUUCUUUUUUCUAGAUAAGGCUGAUUUAUUUAAUGUUUUCAAGUGUCUGAGAGUUCAAAAGUAUCUUUGAAUACACCCUGCGUUUCAUCAGUUACGAGCUGUGACACUUGGGUCUCUUCAUCUGCAAAGUGAGAGUAGGACUGUCGCAAAGUUUUCAUAAAUUACUACAUUUAAAGUACCUUAAAAUGUGCUGGGGCGUCAUAAACACUCACUAAAUGGCAGCUAUUACACAUUUCAGAAAAAUGAUGGAAGCAAGGAAAGCUCGUGUACUGAAGUUUUUGUGAAGGCCAAACAGCAACGCUGCAUUCAGAGUCUCCUGUGUGGCAUCUGUGUUGCGACAUUUGGCACAAUUAUUAUUGUACUCAAAUUGCCGGAACAAUGGAUAUUGUGCUAGGGGAUCCCAGGCUUCAGUUUCAUUGCAUCACAGACUGCACUGUUAUUUAAGGGGGGGAUGAUGAAAAGCAAGAGGGGAAAAUAGUACUCAUUCGUAACAACUGGACUUGACAUUUCACGUAUGUGUUGAGCAACACAGGCAAUCCUCUUUAGCGAAUUCAAUUUCACGACACAGCCUGUGCCUUUAAAUAUAUAGACAUAACCCCUCUCAUUAUAUACAUAUUACAUUUAUAUAUGUAUAUGUGUUAUAUGUGUGUGUGUGUGUGUGUGUGUGUGUGUGUGUGUGUGUGAUGCCUUGCAGAUAACCAUGCCUCAGUGGCCUCUAACUGAUGGAUGGGCCAUUGCUGGUGAUGCCCCAUAGCCUCCUAUCAGAUGCUUCUCUUUUUCUUCUAGUUUUACUUUUCCUCUCUCCCACCGACAGUUUCCUUGCCCCAUAGUCCUUAUUUUCUUUAAUUUUUUUCUUCGCUCUGUCGUGUCUGAAGUCUGCCCAAAGCAGUCGCAUCAUCUGUCAGGUUUUCACCACCAACGUAGGGACAGACCUAAAGAGAUUAGUAACCCUCGAGGAGAGUAUGCUUUACUAAAUAAAGGAAAGAUAGCAUCACGGGGCUUUUCUAAAUGUUGGAAUCAUUGCAUAUACCUUUUGGGGGGAAUUAUUUGUGGCUCCCAGUCAUGGCUGAGAUUAGAGUUCUGUUGCAAAGUUGAUCUUCUUUGCUCCUGGGAUUUUUCCCGAGGGGAUGGGAACACAGCUAGUGUAGUCCGAUCUUGGUAAAGGACUCUGAAAGAAAGAAAGUAGCAGUUGGGUCACGUACCUGCUGCUCUGGGGUUGUUCAUUUCUCUCCACUCUUUGGGGAAAUGAGUGGAGAUACUAACUGGUGUAAUUGUGACCAAGCAAAGAAGGGCAUAACUUGGAGCCAAUGGUGGAAGAAUCCAUGUAUAGGCUAGCAUUUCUGAGUGUGCAAGGGUUGUUGUGGGUGAGGAAGAGUCAUCCUGCCUUCGGCUGACUUCUCAUUUCAGUGGACUCCGUGCCCAAGGAACAUGUCAUCUGUGUAGGUACAAAUGGAGUGGAGGGAAAAGGAGACAGUUGCCAACGGGCCGGAACUAGCACUCAACCGGAUGGACUUCUCCAAGUUUUGCUUUAAUGGUGAAUAAAACCAUUGUGAUUCCCUAGACAUUGCCAGGGAAACCUUUUUCAUGGCGAUUGUACUUAUAGUCCUUAGCCUGCGGUAAUGUCGUAACGCACAUUUCAUUCUCUAGUGAGAUUGGUAGCCUGUCCCUCAUAUGCGAUUUCCUCAAGUUGGACAACUGCAAAGCCAUAUUUCCCCUAUUCUUUCUUCUUUGGUCAAGGAGAAUUUAUGUGGCCUUUGAAGCUGAAGCCAGAGUCCCUCCUGUGUUGGCCUCAAGCUUCAACUGGCAUUUCUGUCUCCUACAGAAACCUAAGACUUCCGUGGCAGGCAAAUUCUUCCAUUGUAAUUUUUCUAUCUCCCGUGAUUCUUAAAAAGAAGUGGAAAUUGGCCAAGCCAUCAGAAAAACUCGGAGUUGGGGUACCUGGGCGGCUCAGUGGGUUAAGCAUCCGACUUCA